CCUACGGGAGGCAGCAGUGGGGAAUUUUGGACAAUGGGCGCAAGCCUGAUCCAGCCAUGCCGCGUGCGGGAAGAAGGCCUUCGGGUUGUAAACCGCUUUUGUCAGGGAAGAAACGCUCUGGGCUAACACCCCGGGGUAAUGACGGUACCUGAAGAAUAAGCACCGGCUAACUACGUGCCAGCAGCCGCGGUAAUACGUAGGGUGCAAGCGUUAAUCGGAAUUACUGGGCGUAAAGCGUGCGCAGGCGGCUGUGCAAGACAGAUGUGAAAUCCCCGGGCUUAACCUGGGAACUGCACUUGUGACUGCAUAGCUAGAGUACGGCAGAGGGGGAUGGAAUUCCGCGUGUAGCAGUGAAAUGCGUAGAUAUGCGGAGGAACACCGAUGGCGAAGGCAAUCCCCUGGGCCUGUACUGACGCUCAUGCACGAACGACGUGGGAGGACGAACGAGGAGUAGUAUACCUACGGUAGUACCGACCGACCCGUAAACCGAACUAGUACACUAGUUGGUUGGGUAGGGUUCGUUCUCUAGUACGUA
rnacentral:rRNA from 1 species